rnacentral:lncRNA from 1 species
GGAGGAUGUGAGGGUUCCGUGAAAUCACUGAUACUGGAGUGCUUUGAAACAGCUGCAAAGGGCGACAGGAACGAAGAGAUCCCGAAGAUUUCUUCAGAGAAGCGUUCCCGGAUUAUGGCAGGGCGACAGUCCAGCUCUUCAUCUCCUCAGCUCACCCUCAGCGCCUUGAGUGUUGGAAGUCAGAACCUGGGCCUGUGCGUCUCUUCAGACAUUGUUUUGGUGGAAAGCGGGGAGAGAGGCGUCACGGGUGGUACCAGCUUAGAUGAGAGGAAUAUGCAGCAGGAAACUGCCCAGGCCGAUCAGGAGAAAGUUGCGAAUGGCACAGAGGGUCGUCCUGAGGAAAAUGCAGGGGCUGGAUCAUGGAGGAGACUGAAUGCCAGGCUGAAGUCUUGGGACUGCGACGUUACUGAAGGAUCUAGACCAGGGAGCACACGGGACACUGAGUGCCUGUGCCAGAGGAGCAUCUGAAGGCCAGAAGACCACGGGGAAGGCAGAGCCGGCCAUCACCAGCCCCUCCUCGGGUCCCUGCACAUCUCCCCAUCACUGUUGUCCUUGUCCUGUGGCAGCGACCUGGUUCAGGGCUCUGUAUCUCCUGGAAGGUCCUUGAGGGCAGGGACCAGGGUGCGGUCACCUCUACCCUCAGAGCGUGGCACAGGCCUGGCACAUAGUAGGGCUCCGGGAGUGUUUGUUCUAGUCUUAGUAACCUAAAGUGACAGCUGUGGCAGUAACUCAAGUGUGUCAUGAUGAAAGCCGGGGUGGGGAGAGUGGUGGUGAGAAUGGGCAGGCUCAAACGAUAGGAAAUCUGGAGGGAGAGGCAGCAGUUGUUGCAAUAAUUCUUUCUAGUAGAAAAUCAAGAAGACAUGUACUCGAGGCUAAGAGGGAAAAUACGGGUCUGAGUCCCAAGUCUGCUCCCAGCACUGUGUCCUUGGGUAAUUUUUAACCAUUUUGUGGGCAAACGUGGUGCACGUGUCAGGGAUGGGGGCAGCUAGUGCGCGAGGUAACAGAGGUGAACGCAUGCUGAGCUUUUCAAAGUUUGGACGCGAGCCCUGCCACCUAGUAGCUGGUUGAACCUAGUUAUGUCACUUUCCCUUUCUGAGGCUCAGCUUCAUCUAGAAAAUAGGAAUAGUAACUCCUGGCCUACCUCUUGAAUGGAUC